CAUUUCGUGACAAGCUUUUCCUGUAACUGUGGAUACAUUCCAACGUGUGCGGCACGACGAGGAGGCGACCCACGAGAAUGAAGUGGACCACUCGGCGAACUCGAGUGCACAGGUCCCCGAACUGAAUCCUCCUCCAGUGGAUCCUAUGUGCCGCGGUCCCUAUUCCUGAUGGGUACCGGCUGACGAAGUGCUUGUCGGCGACUAUUUGAGUAGCAAGAUUGAUGGCCACCCGCUGCCGCCCUCCUUUAUCCUCGAGCUCGACGUGUUCGGAACCGAGCCGUGGAACUUUCCUGGUACCUUUAUCGGGUUCCUCCUCGAGAUUGUUGAUUUGUAUCUGAUGAAGAUGGAGAAGAAAGACUUCUUCUUUUUAACCUUAAGCUUGCAAUUAAGGUCGAAACCCCGUUGUUUUCCCCAAAACUCUGUUUUUUUUUUCUCCCCUGAAUCGGUCCCCUGAUUCUAAGUUAGUUGCCAAAAUUCGCCUUGGAAAAACUAUAGCUUUACAUUACUAUUUUUGGUCUUCUCGUCUUCUCGAAUCCACUGGAGUUUUUCAUCAAUAAUGGCAAGUGAAUUCACAGGCGAUGCCGAAGAGGAAAGGUACUUCUUUUGCCGGAUGAAGAAGGAAGCGAAGUUGGGAGAUUGAUCGGCGGCACACAAAAGAGUUGUUGGUGCUUCUGGUUACUGGAAGCUAAGUGGUACGGAGAAGCAAAUACUUACACUCCCAUUGAAGGCAAUCAAGAGCAGGCUCCUUUUUUGUGAAGGAGGAGGAGGAGAAGAUCGAGAGGUGGAAGAGGAAGAAGAGGAAGAAGAUGAUGAUGAUGAAGAUGGAGAAGGAGGCUCAACCAAUGUUGCUCAGACCGGACCAAAAUAGAUCAUGCAUGAGUUUUGGCCUCACUACCGGAUACAUAUUCUAGACAACAUGUUUUCUCGACUCGUCUCGGAGAAUUUCUUGCAGGGAUUCGGGUGGAGUGGGUCGAGCCCAUCACAGCCAUUCAUUUCGCGAGAGUUCCCAUGAGCCCCACGCAUCAAGACCCGCUUAAAGGACAGCCAGUUCAGCGGAUCCGGUCCAAACAAGACUUAUUAAUCCAUCCUUUCGGAUUGAAGAAACAUGAAAUCGGAGCAGCGUAACGGGUGUUUCAGAAGAAACCCAAGAGACCCAAGGGGGUCACGUCUCUCCCGUCGAGCUCGCAACAGUGUCUCAAGCGGCGGUUCGACCGGACUUAAUUCGCGGAGUUCGAGUUGAAUUGUCGAAGUUACAGAAAAAAAGUUUUAAAAGAGUAUCCGUCUGGGUUUGAAUCGUGACCAUGCAGACUGCGAACAUGCCUUUCCAUCUCGCGAGUUCGCUCUGGCUUUACAGUAAGUAGUUUCAGCAGAAAGAUUUUCAGGAGACCCGGCAUUCCUUUUCGAUUAAUGACAAUUUUUUUAUAGGCCUUCUUGUCUC